AUUGAACGCUGGCGGCAGGCCUAACACAUGCAAGUCGAGCGAACAGACGAGGAGCUUGCUCCUCUGACGUUAGCGGCGGACGGGUGAGUAACACGUGGAUAACCGACCUAUAAGACUGGGAUAACUUCGGGAAACCGGAGAUAAUACCGGAUAAUAUAUUGAACGGCAUGGUUCAAUAGUGAAAGACGGUUUUGCUGUCACUUAUAGAUAGAACCGCGCCGCAUUAGCUAGUUGGUAAGGUAACGGCUUACCAAGGCUACGAUGCGUAGCUGACCUGAGAGGAUGAUCGGUCACACUGGAACUGAGACACGGUCCAGACUCCUACGGGAGGCAGCAGUAGGGAAUAUUCGGCAAUGGGCGAAAGCUUGACGGAGCAACGCCGCGUGAGUGAUGAAGGUCUUCGGAUCGUAAAACUCUGUUAGUAGGGAAGAACAAAUGUGUAAGUAACUCUGCACGUCUUGACGGUACCUAAUCAGAAAGCCACGGCUAACUACGUG
rnacentral:rRNA from 1 species